rnacentral:rRNA from 1 species
CGGUGAGUAAUAUAUCGAACGUACCUAGAGUGGGGAUAACGCAGCGAAAGUUUGCGCUAAUACCGCAUACGAUCUACGGAUGAAAGUGGGGGAUCGCAAGACCUCAUGCUCAUGGAGCGGCCGAUAUCUGAUUAGCUAGUUGGUGGGUAAAGGCCUACCAAGGCAUCGAUCAGUAGCUGGUCUGAGAGGACGACCAGCCACACUGGAACUGAGACACGGUCCAGACUCCUACGGGAGGCAGCAGUGGGGAAUUUUUGGACAAUGGGGGCAACCCUGAUCCAGCAAUGCCGCGUGAGUGAAGAAGGCCUUCGGGUUGUAAAGCUCUUUUGUCAGGGAAGAAACGGUGAGGGCUAAUAUCCUUUGCUAAUGACGGUACCUGAAGAAUAAGCACCGGCUAACUACGUG